UACGUAGGGAGCAAGCGUUGUCCGGAAUCAUUGGGCGUAAAGCGCGCGUAGGUGGUCCCGUAAGUCCGCUGUGAAAGUCAAAGGCUCAACCUUUGAAAGCCGGUGGAUACUGUGGGACUAGAGUACGGAAGAGGAGUGUGGAAUUCCUGGUGUAGCGGUGAAAUGCGCAGAUAUCAGGAGGAACACCAAUGGCGAAGGCAGCACUCUGGGACGUGACUGACGCUGAGACGCGAAAGCGUGGGGAGCAAACAGG
rnacentral:rRNA from 1 species